rnacentral:rRNA from 1 species
UACGUAGGGCGCAAGCGUUGUCCGGAAUUAUUGGGCGUAAAGAGCUCGUAGGCGGUUUGUCGCGUCGGAUGUGAAAGCCCGGGGCUUAACCCCAGUCCUGCUUCCGAUACGGGUGGACUAGAGGUAGGUAGGGGAGAUCGGAAUUCCUGGUGUAGCGGUGAAAUGCGCAGAUAUCAGGAGGAACACCGGUGGCGAAGGCGGGUCACUGGUCCAUUACUGACGCUGAGGUGCGAAAGCGUGGGGAGCAAACAGG